rnacentral:lncRNA from 7 species
ACAGUUUCGCCUUCUGUGUCAGGGAGCUGAAACACCUAGCUCUCUGUAGACUGUAAGCACUGCUCUUUUGCAUAGCCUUCAAAGUCCUGAUCGACAACUGUGAUAAAAAUGAAACAACAAUCCAAGGUUUAAGUAACAGGCAUAUCGCAUACAGGAGUGUGAACACGCAUGGACAGACCUAAGCUGAAAGAAGAGGAUGUAGCAUUACAGGUCUGCUGCCACUGUGCCUUGAGGACAACAGGCUAUGCCUUUCCACUGGGUAAAUCUCAUCGGGGCAGAAGCAGCAAAGGAAGAGCUGGGAUGGUUCCAGAUAGCAGUAAAUUUGUUGGAAAAUGAGGCUUUUGGAAGUGCGUGUGUGAAGUGGAGAGCAGGAAAUCCAGUUUGCAUCUGACAAAUGCAGAUUUGCCCCCACAUCUCCAGAAAGGAGGGCAGCCUCCAUUGGCUGAACGGUUCCAGUCUGAUGCGCUCUGUGCUGAGCUUCCUGGCUUCUUUUCGAUUUUUUGCCUAUAAAUCAGCCCACAAUCGAGAAGGGAAAACAAGAAGAUAAACAAUCUAAAGAUGCAAAACAAAUAAUUCCAGGUCAAAAACUAUCUGGUUGAUUGAAAUGUUCUGACAAAACAAACAAACAAACAAACAAAAACGAUCCCCUUCUCUAUACUGUUCUUUCCCCCUUAAUUUUCCUGCUGGCCCUUAAAACAAAAAUAAAAUGAUCAGACUG